AAAACAAAGGAGUUAGAUUAGUUUGAGGAACAGGAAAUAUUGCUCUAUGUACCAGGGCUGCAGCGACAGGAAAUAGUGAACAGGAACUGUGCAUGCCCAUAUAUGGGAACUGAGUGUGUACAGAAAGAACACAGAGAGAGAGAUUUAACUCUAGGCACAUGAAGCAAAUGAAGCCUUUAAGAAAAAAUGAAUAUAAUACUAAUUAUAUGGUUUAGUGUGUCAAUACAGGUGGGCGUCUUUCAACUUUGCAACCUUGAGUUCAGCAGCAGAAAAGUAGAUUAAAAGAAUUGGGAGAAUAAGCCAGUUUUUGGCUCGAAAUUGUGCGGCUGGAUCUCUCACUUUGUCCCUGAAGCGGAGAAGAAGUUCAAAGGACAGUUAAUCGCCUGAUGAAGACCGAUAGAACAUCGUGGACUUGAAUACAGCAGGCAAACGACAGGGCCACUGAUCCAUUAACACUGAUGACGACUGACGACCAGCAGCAGCAUAUGACUCAUACCUGGGUGGCAGGAGAAUUUGAGGAUGACCUAUGACCGACAAACAGCUGGUUAGGAGGGCCGCCGCCAGGGUCGGGUUCAUCCUGCGGGGUGUUCUGCACCAGGGACUCAAUCUCCCAGGUAAGUGAACCAACUGUACAGGUAGGAGGCAGCAUGGUGGAUUCUGACAUUUCAUUAGAACAGUGUUUCCAAACAUAUUUUGCAUUAGAAAAAUCACAAGGCACGGCACCAAACAAAAAUGUCACAAAAAGUGUAUUUAUUGAAAUCUAAUGAAAAUCUACUCUCAGUGUACUUACUGUGAAACCUGGGCCUGUUUAGUAGAACACAAAGCUGAUAUUCUUGCAGGAAUUAAAGAAAGACGAUCACAAGCUUCCUCAACAGAGUCUCUCUCCUGUUUUUGUCAUUAUAGGAGUCAUGCUUGAAAAGCCCAUCUCGCAUAGAUAGAUUGUAGAGAACUGAAAUGGCUUUGUUUGCCAGAAUAAGGAACUCCUUUGCAGCAGUCAGCCAAAAACUGACUGCUACUUUGAACCACGGCACACCUGAUGGUUUCUCACGGCAUACAUGUGUCCCACGGCACAGUGGUUGGGUGUUUCAUCAUGUACAUCGCUAAAAGAUUUAUAAAUCUGUGUACAUAAGGAGCAACCUCUUAACGGCUGUGAACUGGGGGUACUGUCAUAAGAACAGACAGGACACUGCACUGGAAAAAUGGUCCAAAAAACCCCAUACAUUAAUAUUUCUAGGCUGAAUAGUGCGUGAUAUAUACAUAUAUAUAUACAUAUAUAUGUAUAUAUAUGUAUAUAUAUACAUAUGGGCAUUUUCUACAGAAGUAACCUGAAAUAUUGAGAACUUUGUUUUAUUAAAACAGACUGAUUAGUAUAAAAUGCACUCUCCUGUGAGUUUUUUUUAAAUUUUUUGCAACACAUGAAAUUUUAACACAUUAAUUUUUAGC
ensembl:lncRNA